GACAGAGGGUGCAAACGUUGCUCGGAAUUACUGGGCGUAAAGGGCGUGUAGGCGGGAAGGCAAGUCGGGCGUGAAAUCCCCGGGCUCAACCUGGGAAUUGCAUUUGUGACUGUAUGGCUAGAGUGUGUCAGAGGGGGGUAGAAUUCCACGUGUAGCAGUGAAAUGCGUAGAUAUGUGGAGGAAUACCGAUGGCGAAGGCAGCCCCCCUGGGAUAACACUGACGCUCAUGCACGAAAGCGUGGGGAGCAAACAGG
rnacentral:rRNA from 1 species